rnacentral:rRNA from 1 species
UGGGGAAUAUUGGACAAUGGGCGAAAGCCUGAUCCAGCCAUGCCGCGUGUGUGAAGAAGGUCUUCGGAUUGUAAAGCACUUUAAGUUGGGAGGAAGGGCAGUAAGCGAAUACCUUGCUGUUUUGACGUUACCGACAGAAUAAGCACCGGCUAACUCUGUGCCAGCAGCCGCGGUAAUACAGAGGGUGCAAGCGUUAAUCGGAAUUACUGGGCGUCAAGCGCGCGUAGGUGGUUCGUUAAGUUGAAUGUGAAAGCCCCGGGCUCAACCUGGGAACUGCAUCCAAAACUGGCGAGCUAGAGUAGGGCAGAGGGUGGUGGAAUUUCCUGUGUAGCGGUGAAAUGCGUAGAUAUAGGAAGGAACACCAGUGGCGAAGGCGACCACCUGGGCUCAUACUGACACUGAGGUGCGAAAGCGUGGGGAGCAAACAGG